rnacentral:rRNA from 1 species
UACGAAGGGGGGCUAGCGUUGCUCGGAAUCACUGGGCGUAAAGCGCACGUAGGCGGAUUGUUAAGUCAGGGGUGAAAUCCUGGAGCUCAACUCCAGAACUGCCUUUGAUACUGGCGAUCGUUGAGUCCGGGAGAGGUGAGUGGAACUGCGAGUGUAGAGGUGAAAUUCGUAGAUAUUCGCAAGAACACCAGUGGCGAAGGCGGCUCACUGGCCCGGUACUGACGCUGAGGUGCGAAAGCGUGGGGAGCAAACAGG